rnacentral:rRNA from 1 species
AUUGAACGCUGGCGGAAUGCUUUACACAUGCAAGUCGAACGGUAGAGGGGGCAACCCCUCGAGAGUGGCGAACGGGUGAGUAAUAUAUCGGAACGUGCCCAGUCGUGGGGGAUAACGUAGCGAAAGUUACGCUAAUACCGCAUACGAUCUAAGGAUGAAAGCGGGGGACCGUAAGGCCUCGCGCGAUUGGAGCGGCCGAUAUCAGAUUAGGUAGUUGGGGAGGUAAAGGCUCACCAAGCCAACGAUCUGUAGCUGGUCUGAGAGGACGACCAGCCACACUGGAACUGAGACACGGUCCAGACUCCUACGGGAGGCAGCAGUGGGGAAUUUUGGACAAUGGACGCAAGUCUGAUCCAGCCAUUCCGCGUGCAGGAUGAAGGCCCUCGGGUUGUAAACUGCUUUUGUACGGAACGAAAAGGUCUCUCCUAAUACGAGGGGCUCAUGACGGUACCGUAAGAAUGAGCACCGGCUAACUACGUGCCAGCCGCCGCCGUAAGAC